CUGACAGAAGAGAGUGAGCACACACAGGCAAUUGUAUGAGGCCAUACCAUUGCAGAGGUGUGUGCUCACCUCUCUUUCUGUCAG
rnacentral:pre_miRNA from 1 species